CUGACCACCACCUCUGAUUUAUCUUGAUAGAUGAUGCUAUGGACCCCAUGCGUCAGUUCUUUUUCCCCUUCCCCUCUCCUUCCAAGAGAGGUCGUACCCCUUCCCCUCAGCCGCAGCAGCUAGCGGGCAUCAGCUGCCCCUCACCCCCUCUCCCUGCGGCCAAAGCCUGACCACCACCUCGCCCUGCGCCGCACGCCAUGCGCGCUGAUUGCCGUGGCCAUCCCAGCGUGAGCCGCACCUACCACAAUCUCAUGUGCUGGUUCGCGUUAGGCGGGGGCAGGUGGCAGCCAGCAGUCAGGGCGACAAGCUGCAGCGCAGGUUAGCGGCGGAGCCACCAAUAUGGCAAGGUACGGCGAUCGUAAAACCUGCCCGGCCGGUGACUCACAAGCUAAUUUCUAGUAUAUUUAUAUAUGUAUUUGAUGAUUAUAUCUAUGUUAUUUGAUAAUUAUAAUAUAUUAUAAUUUUUUAUAGUAUGCAUGUGUUUUAAUAUAAAUCAGUAGCAGGCUCGCUAUAGGUUGAUUUUGGUCCUCGCUCCGCCGGUGGCGCACGGGGCAGCUGCGCAGGCGCAGCGGACGACGGAGGCAGCGGAAUGCGUGAUCGCCGGCGAGGUAAGGCUGUCUCCAGCAGCGUUCUGUAAAGCGUUCUGUACUCUAUAUAUAGAGGAAGAUUCCGUUCUCUAUUGCUCCAGCAGCGUUAUCUAAAUGGUCCUCUAAAUUAGAGAACGCUACAGGUUUCCUAUAUAUAGAGAUUCUCUCUCCUCUUCUCUAUUUUUUCUUUACGUUUCAAACACUGAAUUAAAUAAAAAUAAAAUAUGUCUAUAGCGUUUGAGGUAUGA
rnacentral:lncRNA from 1 species